UUUAAACGCAGCCUUUGCGACGCAACGACUCAGCCAAUGGGAGUGAGCGAUCUCGGCCGGCCCACCCACGUCCUAAAGUGAUUGGUUUGGAGAGUAAAAUCCUGACCAAUCGUCAGCGAGGACCGAUUAACCUGAAAGGCUCUCUCUCCCUGCCCCCUCCCCCUCGCCGAACUCUUUCUGGGCACCUAGGAGACGCUUCAGGGCUCCCCGGCGCGCACUGCCGGGUCUGGGGGCUCUCUCCUGUCUGCGCCGCCGCGGUCGGGGAGCCCCUCAACGGGCCUGCGCGAGUGCUCAUGUCGCAGGUCUGAGUUUUCUGUUGUUCCAGGAAGAGGCUGACAGCGGCGCCGAGCCCCCACCCGAGGCAGCACUGACGCCCCCCCCCCCCCCCUUGUCACAGCAGCCGGAGCUGUCAGUGUAAAUACAGAAACAAAACACCCUGAAGAAACGACCUGCCGAGCAGAGCGAGCAUGGGGACGCGGGGACACUGCCGGGUUCAGUCCCCUGCACCGCCCUAAGGAAGAGCUGAGAAGUGCGCUCUGGGGAAGAGAAAUAAAAGAAAAAGACACUUAGAAAAUAAGCCUAAAUAACUUCAGUGAAUGAUGGAUCUGUUCUGAAUGAAAAACUUUUUUUUUUUUUUUUACUCAUGGGGAUUAACUGCUAGAGCUUUUUAACUUAGCAAAAUCAGAAGCCUGCUGAUACUACAAGGUAUUCUUUUUUAGCAGAAACCUUUUCUUACAUCACUUGUCUCUUCAGAAGUCAGUUUUUGAUUUUUUUUUUUAAGAAUUCAUUUAUUCAUGAGGAAGAUAGAGAAAGAAGCAGACAUCACUCUGGUACAUGUGCUGCCCAGGAUUGAACUCGGGGACCUCAUGGUUGAGAGUCCAGUGGUUUAUCCACUGCACCACCUCCCAGACCACUCCUUUAUUUUUUUAAAAUCUCUUCAGCUACUACUCUUAAGUGCAGAAUUAGAAACCAGAAAAAACAGAUGUAUAGGCUUUAUAAACGCAAUCCUACAAAUGGCUACAUGUCGAGUUUACAGACUGAAUAGCUGAAACCACAAGCACUGCAUUAGGUUUGCUACAGGUCUACAUAAUUCGGAAUUGGACUGAAAUCAAAGACUCUGAGGUUUUUCAAAAUGUUUGGUGAAAGAUUCAACACUAAGAACAAGAGUCUUCUGAUAAUGAUAGUAGAAAAGUGUAUUUCUCUCUAGAUAGGAGAAUAGCUCUGCACCCCCUCAAGACACGCUUUUUUUCUUCUUUUUUCUUUUUAAUCAAUAUCUUUGUUCCAUUCAGCACAGUGUGGUGUACAAAGGAACAUGAAGUGCAUGUGUAGCUAAGAAUGUCAUGUUUAAGGUAAUAGAAACAAAUGACAAUAUGAAGAUCGAGCACAGAUGAAACAAACCUUUCCUUAAUACUCAAUACCUCCAUAGAACUAGGCUAUGCAAAAGACUCGCCAGUAUAUUAGUGUUUUUCAGAAUGACUUUCUGUGAUUGGGAAUACUCUACAAACUCUGCCUAAUCCCCAAAUUCAUUAACUCAGACUCCCGACUGUCUAAGCAGACAAGUGGAAAGGGCAGUCAAAUAUAAGUUAAACCAUAAGUAACUUGACUGAGCUGUGACUUAGCUGGAAAACAAAAGCCAAACAAACAACCUCUGAUGCUACUUACAUAUAUGUUCUCAAUAAACUGCAAUUUCAAAACUAACAA